UACGUAGGUGGCAAGCGUUGUCCGGAUUUAUUGGGUUUAAAGGGUGCGUAGGCGGCAUUUUAAGUCAGUGGUGAAAUACUUCAGCUCAACUGGAGAGGUGCCAUUGAUACUGGGAUGCUUGAGUACUGAUGAGGUAGGCGGAAUGGACGGUGUAGCGGUGAAAUGCUUAGAUAUCGUCCAGAACACCGAUAGCGAAGGCAGCUUACUAAGGAGUAAACUGACGCUGGAGGCAACGAAAAGUGUGGGGGAUCAAAACAGG
rnacentral:rRNA from 1 species